rnacentral:rRNA from 1 species
CGUGCCAGCAGCCGCGGUAAUACGGAGGGUCCGAGCGUUAUCCGGAAUCAUUGGGUUUAAAGGGUCCGUAGGCGGGCCGUUAAGUCAGGGGUGAAAUACCACGGCUCAACCGUGGAGGUGCCCUUGAUACUGGCGGUCUUGAGUUACAGUGGAGCGGCCGGAAUAUGUGGUGUAGCGGUGAAAUGCAUAGAUAUCACAUAGAACACCGAUCGCGAAGGCAGGUCGCUAACUGUAUACUGACGCUGAUGGACGAAAGCGUGGGGAGCGAACGGGAUUAGAUACCCCGGUAGUCCACGCCGUAAACGAUGGAAGCUAGCCGUCGGGCAGUAUACUGUUCGGUGGCGCAGUUAACGCAUUAAGCUUCCCGCCUGGGGAGUACGGUCGCAAGGCUAAAACUCAAAGGAAUUGACGGGGACCCGCACAAGCGGUGGAGCAUGUGUUUUAAUUCGAA